UUAAAUUGAAGAGUUUGAUCAUGGCUCAGAUUGAACGCUGGCGGCAGGCCUAACACAUGCAAGUCGAACGGUAACAGGAAUCAGCUUGCUGAUUCGCUGACGAGUGGCGGACGGGUGAGUAAUGUCUGGGAA
rnacentral:rRNA from 1 species